rnacentral:rRNA from 1 species
GACGAACGCUGGCGGCGUGCCUAACACAUGCAAGUCGAGCGAUGAAGCUCCUUCGGGAGUGGAUUAGCGGCGGACGGGUGAGUAACACGUGGGUAACCUGCCUCAUAGAGAGGGAUAGCCUUCCGAAAGGAAGAUUAAUACCUCAUAAGAUUGUAGUUUCGCAUGAAACGGCAAUAAAAGGAGCAAUCCGCUAUGAGAUGGACCCGCGUCGCAUUAGCUAGUUGGUAAGGUAAUGGCUUACCAAGGCGACGAUGCGUAGCCGACCUGAGAGGGUGAUCGGCCACAUUGGGACUGAGACACGGCCCAGACUCCUACGGGAGGCAGCAGUGGGGAAUAUUGCACAAUGGGGGAAACCCUGAUGCAGCAACGCCGCGUGAGUGAUGACGGUCUUCGGAUUGUAAAACUCUGUCUUUGGGGACGAUAAUGACGGUACCCAAGGAGGAAGCCACGGCUAACUACGUGCCAGCCGCCGCGGUAAUAC